GGACGAACAGACAUGUAGUUGUAACCAGACAAGUUGGACACACAGGAACAGAGGGGUUGAGGGCCUUGCUCAUUGAGCUUACAUGCUAGAGGGAGUGGGGUAAAAUGACACAAAAAGGUAAGGAUAGUGCUCCUCCUACCUCUCCCAGCGCUCUUUCAGUGUUUCUUUCUCUGGCCCUACUUCUUCUCCCCAUCUCCUCUCUGUUGGUGUCCCCCAAGGCUCAGUCCUUGGUCCCCUACUGUUCUCAAUCUAUACUGCCUCCCUUGGUAAACUCAUUAGCUCCUUUAGCUUUCAAUAUCAUUUCUAUGCAGAUGACACGCAAAUCUACCUGUCCUCUCCUGAUCUCUCCCCGUCCCUCCCCGACUAGUGUCUCUGACUGCCUCUCUGCUG